GCUACUGUGGCUCAGUUGGUAGAGCAGCUCAUUCGUAAUGAGCAGGUCGUCCGUUCGAAUCGGAUCAGUAGCUCCA
rnacentral:tRNA from 1 species